rnacentral:rRNA from 1 species
AAUGGGCGAAAGCCUGAUCCAGCAACGCCGCGUGAGGGAUGACGGCCUUCGGGUUGUAAACCUCUUUCAGUAGGGACGAAGCUAACGUGACGGUACCUACAGAAGAAGCACCGGCCAACUACGUGCCAGCAGCCGCGGUAAUACGUAGGGUGCGAGCGUUGUCCGGAAUUAUUGGGCGUAAAGGGCUCGUAGGCGGUUUGUCACGUCGGGAGUGAAAACUCGGGGCUUAACUCCGAGCCUGCUUCCGAUACGGGCUGACUAGAGGUAUGCAGGGGAGAACGGAAUUCCUGGUGUAGCGGUGAAAUGCGCAGAUAUCAGGAGGAACACCGGUGGCGAAGGCGGUUCUCUGGGCAUUACCUGACGCUGAGGAGCGAAAGUGUGGGGAGCGAACAGGAUUAGAUACCCUGGUAGUCCACACCGUAAACGUUGGGCGCUAGGUGUGGGACUCAUUCCACGAGUUCCGUGCCGCAGCUAACGCAUUAAGCGCCCCGCCUGGGGAGUACGGCCGCAAGGCUA